rnacentral:rRNA from 1 species
CGCCCGUCACAUCACGAAAUGGGUUGUACUAGAAGCGGCAGAGCUAACCCGUAAGGGAGGCAUGUCUCUACGGUAUGAUUCAUGAUUGGGUG